rnacentral:rRNA from 1 species
UACGUAGGUGGCAAGCGUUGUCCGGAUUUAUUGGGUUUAAAGGGUGCGUAGGCGGCUUAUUAAGUCAGUGGUGAAAUACUCUAGCUCAACUAGAGGGGUGCCAUUGAUACUGAUGAGCUUGAGUACAGAUGAGGUAGGCGGAAUUGACGGUGUAGCGGUGAAAUGCUUAGAUAUCGUCAAGAACACCAACGGCGAAAGCACUCUGCUGGGCCGACACUGACACUGAGAGACGAAAGCUAGGGGAGCGAAUGGG